CUUCCCCCCAAAAAGUUAAUUUUCCACAAAAAGUAAACAAACAAGAAACCAGGUGAGAAAAAAUAAGUACAGUGUGACUAUCUCUACAAAAGUACAACUUUUGGCAGUUUGGUGUUCUGGAGCACUCAGGUGUGUGUACAGCAAGAAGCAAGGACAUUAGCCAUGACCUCAGAGAAGCAAUUGUUGUUGGUCAUUUAUCUGACAAGGGCUAUAAGGCCAUCUCCAAGCAAUUUGAAAUUCACCAUUCUACAGUGAUUAAGAUUGUUUACAAAUGGAGAGCCUUCAAGACAGUUGCCAAUCUUCCUAGGAGUGGGCGUUCCAGCAAAUUCAGUCCAAGUCAGAGCAUUUAGUGCUCAGAGAUGCAAAAAAACCCCAACAAGAUUCAUCAUGUGACCUUCAGGCCUCUGUAAGCACAUUAAUUGUUUAUGUUCAUUACAGCACAAUCAGUAUAUUGGCUUCCAUGGAAGAGUGGCUAGGAAAAUGCCCCUUCUCUCCAAAAAUAAUAUGGCAGCAUGAUUUAGGUUUGCAAAAUUGCAUCUGAAGAAACCACAAAAGUUCUGGAACAAUAUCCUUUGUACUAAUGGACCAAGGUGGAGAUGUUUGGUCAUCAUGCACAGUGCCAUGUUUGACGGACACCAAACACAGCGUAUCACCAUAAACACCUCAUACCAACUGUCAAGCAUGGUGGUGGAGGAAUGAUGAUUUCAGCUUGUUUUGCAGUCACAGAACCUGAGAAACUUGCAGUCAUUGAGACAUCGAUGAACUCCACUUUAUACCAGAAUAUUCUUAAGUCAAAUGUGUUGCCCUUUGUCCAGCAGCAUAAACUGGGCUGAAAUUGGGUCAUGCGCCUGGACAAUGAUCACAAAUACACCAGCAGAUCAAAAACUAAUGGCUAAAGAAGACAAAAAAAGUCCAGACCUCAACCCCACUGAGAUGCUGUGGCAGGAUCUUCAGAGAGCUGUACAUCAAUGAAUGUCCUCAAACAUCAAUGAACUGAAGCACUGUUGUAAAGAAGAGUGGGUCAACAUUUCUCCAAAAUUAUGUGAGAGACCGGUAAACUCCUACAGAAAACUUUUACUUUAGGUUAUUGUUUCUAAAUGUGGUUACUGAAAUAUAGGGUGUACUUAUUUUUCCCCACCUGGUUUCUGAAUGUUGGUUUACUUUUUGGAAAAAAAUAUUACUACAAAUCGGUUGUGUGUUUUAUUAAAUUGUCACCUGAGGUUAUUUGUUUACAGAAGUUGGUGGGGACCACACAAUUGUUAUUUCCACCAUGAUAAUGUAUAAUAAUGUAAUGUAUAACUUACGUAAUAUUUUGCAGUUGAUGAGGGAAUUUAUUUUUGUUUUUAUUCCUUAUUCAAACCUUGGCUGAUGUGGUUGUUUUUAUAGAAGCUAAUUUUUUUUCAUCUCACUGUUGGAAAGCUUAGUUACAACAUUUCUUUCAUUGCCCCCCUCUUUUCCAAUUUCACUGCUGGAAUAGAGGACCUUGAAAAUAAUGCAUCAGACAUGCCAAAGGAAAGCUUUGAUACACCGACUUGUAUUCCAAGACUGCUCUUUUAUUGAGCAUCAGAAGAUAUUUACUGUGUUGUAACGAGAGGCUCUGUGCGCUUCUAUUGCUCAGUUCCAUGUGGAGACUUUCUUUGUCUCUGAAGAAAAAGCCUGAAACAAUGUUUAUACACACAGAGUCCGGACAGUAUUCUUCCAAUCCGUUGUACAAAUGCAUUUUUCCCUUUUCCUUGGCUUCACUGAGCUGACAGAACACACGGCCUGUGACCUGUCAGUGAAACCUUUCCUCAGAAGAGACCCAACUUCACUCAGCUGAAAGGGGAUGAGGUGGCCUCCGAGUUCAGGCUUUAAUUUCAAAAAGGCUUUGCUCAUACACAGGGUAGCUUAGAGUAGGAACAACAGAAAAAAAAGAGGAAGAAACAAUAAAAUGGAAGAUGUCAUUGUUGCUUGAGAGCACAGGUUGAAGUGAAAUACAUGCUGGAUUUUUAUGGUCACUCUGGUCAGAAAAAGGUUGCAGUAGACCUCAUAGCAGUUCCUUUCCCAGUUCUAUUAUAGCAGAAAUCACACAGCACAGACGUUUAGUGCAGAAGGUGUAUGACCAUGUAACAUUUGUAAAAAAAUACAGUAUGCGUUAAAUUAUUGUAGAAGGUAUGUUGUGUCUAAUAUCCACUGAUGGCUGGUUAUGAUAUUGUAUAGCAUGCAAAAAAGAUUUAAAAAAAAAAGUAAUGUAGAAUGAUAUUCUGUACACUAUUUCAUCAGUUUUCGCUUUUCAUGAGGUUAUUGCAGAAAUAUUCGAUUUUUAUCACGAAUUUUUAUCACGAACAUGUUCAUGGCACAUGUCCCAGCGCUACAUGUACUGCAACUUGUGUUAUUUUUGAUUUGUUUUCUCUCCACGCGCUUUAGUUUAUGCAUCAGUCUCCGCCCCGUCAUUGGUGUGUAACCCAACUGUGUCCACCUGUUCCGUGUUAGCUCACUGAUGAGUUAUUAAUUAGUAAUUAUUAUGACUCACAAUUAUAUAUAAAGAAGCUGUGGUGCUAGGCAAGACAAGCAAAGAGCGCACUGUCCAAUAAAUUAUGCGAUUUGUUUUUUCUUUGUUUUUUUCUUCAGGACCCCUGAAGCAUUCACUGACUCCUAGUGGAGUCGGGUGUCUGGGGUUAGACCCAAAACAAAGUAACAACACAAGCCGAGACUAAGGUUAAUACAUGUGUAUUUAGGUUACUGCCAUAUUCACAGUAGUACCAUUAUAGUUGCAUGUGGAGGCUGUCUGUAACUAAAAAAAAGUGUAAAGGAUGUUUAACCCCUUAAUUCAAGAUUAUUAUUCAUUUAUUCAUCCUAAGGCAUAUUACUCAGAAACUCCUAAAAAUGAUUCAGUAACAACAGAUAAACUAAUAGGAAAGUUCGAAAUGUAAAUGUGGACCCACCAAUAAUUUAAAGGAUUAAUAUAAAGUGGGACCAAGAAAAAGUUUCACUGUUGCCAUAUCUUACUAAUACAUACAGUACAUGCAAAUAUACAAAUUAAGUCCAGUCACUCACAGUACUUACAAGCUACAAAUCUUUUAUUGGCACAUGAAGAAAGAAGCCACUUUAUAAGGUGAUAAACACCCUUUAUGCAUACCAUUUACGUAUUCAGCGCUGUUGCUGGGGGAAGCUAGCACUGAGGAAAAUGCUGAACAGAUUCCCCUCUAAUAAAAUGCCAGGAAUUUUCAUUCUGGUGCCGUAGCCGAGGAAGAGUCACAGUACGAUUUCAGUAACAUUUGCAUUGGAUUGUAGCAUGUGUAAUGGCCCAAGCUCCAUUCUCCAUAAUGAUAAAAACACUACAGCAGGCGAAUAUAGCACAUCAGUUCACAAGAGUGACUGAGAGAGGAAAGGAUGAGGGAGAAGUAGAGAAGCAUCAACAAUAACACAAUCUGCAGCUACAACACUUUUUCUGCCUCACAGGGGUGGCAGCUGCUCUAGC
ensembl:lncRNA